rnacentral:lncRNA from 1 species
AGAAAACGGAAUUGCAAAUUCGACAUAAAUGGAAAAAUACACAAUUAAAUUACUAAAUUAAAAUGCAUGAUGGAAAAUAAACAAUACUUUUUUCUAAAAGAAAUUAAAGUUGUUCUAAAAUAAACAAGCUAAAAAAAAUUACUCAAUUUCCUUCUCCCAAGAAGACGUGAGCCUUCUAAAUGAAAUAUUACAUUUUCCAACCAUCAAAUCACCAGCUCGCACCAUUUGGACGUCACAGAGUGCUGAAUGAAACGUGUGCCAACCAACUUCUUUCCCAUUUCAUCAACGCUUAUUCUAAGAAGACAAGUAAAAGUGCUUCUAAAAAGAUAAUGCUAAAGAAAUCAAAAACAGCGUGUGCAGAGCUUCAAGAAUUGAAAGAAAAAUUUCUUUAGUAAAUCACUGUUUCAUUGAUUUCUAAAAUAUAAAUGAAUGUACUAAAAAUGGUUGCUGUAACCGUGAGGACACUUCCUCCUUCAAGCAACGUCUCCCUCCAUCAGUUCUUUUCUCGGAACACUCAAAUUAUAUCUCCAAAACCUAUCUUCACCCGAGGUGCUCUCUCCCCCUGGCGGCUUGUCUUCAGCAAUCCCCAGGUGCCUUCCUUUCUAAUCAGCAUGUGUCCCCCUGAAAAUGAAGUGUCGCUGCCCUACAUGCUAGGCACUCUCCUCUGCAUGGGCCUGUUGCUGCUGUUACAUGGGCUGCACCUCCAUCUUUCACGUGCUCACCUCAAGCUGCAGUAUGCUUCUUUCAAGUGAG